GAUGAACGCUGGCGGCGUGCCUAAUACAUGCAAGUCGAGCGAACAGAUGAGGAGCUUGCUCCUCUGACGUUAGCGGCGGACGGGUGAGUAACACGUGGAUAACCUACCUAUAAGACUGGGAUAACUUCGGGAAACCGGAGCUAAUACCGGAUAAUAUAUUGAACCGCAUGGUUCAAUAGUGAAAGACGGUUUUGCUGUCACUUAUAGAUGGAUCCGCGCGGCAUUAGCUAGUUGGUAAGGUAACGGCUUACCAAGGCAACGAUGCAUAGCCGACCUGAGAGGGUGAUCGGCCACACGGGAACUGAGACACGGUCAAGACUCCUGCGGGAGGCAGCAGUGGGGAAUCUUCGGCAAUGGGCGAAAGCCUGACGGAGCAAGGCCGAGUGAGUGAUGAAGGUCUUCGGAUCGGAAAACUCUGUUAUUAGUGAAGAACAUAUGUGGAAGUAACUGUGCAGAUCGUGACGGUACCUAAUCAGAAAGCCACGGCUAACUACGUG
rnacentral:rRNA from 1 species